rfam:Camelus ferus unplaced genomic scaffold scaffold898, whole genome shotgun sequence.
GAGGGUAUAGCUCAAGUGGUAGAGUGUAUGCUUAGCAUACAGAAGGUCCUGGGUUCAAUUCCCAGUACCUCCU